GGCUGGUCUGAAGGUAGUGAGUUAUCUCAAUUGAUUGUUCACAGUCAGUUACAGAUCAAACUCCUUGUUCUACUCUUUCCCCCCUUCUCACUACUGAGGUUGGCCAGUCUUUA
ensembl:Y_RNA Y_RNA Y RNA